rnacentral:rRNA from 1 species
AUUGAACGCUGGCGGCAUGCCUUACACAUGCAAGUCGAACGGUAACAGGUCUUCGGAUGCUGACGAGUGGCGAACGGGUGAGUAAUACAUCGGAACGUGCCCGAUCGUGGGGGAUAACGCAGCGAAAGCUGUGCUAAUACCGCAUACGAUCUACGGAUGAAAGCGGGGGAUCGCAAGACCUCGCGCGAUUGGAGCGGCCGAUAUCAGAUUAGCUAGUUGGUGGGGUAAAAGCUCACCAAGGCGACGAUCUGUAGCUGGUCUGAGAGGACGACCAGCCACACUGGAACUGAGACACGGUCCAGACUCCUACGGGAGGCAGCAGUGGGGAAUUUUGGACAAUGGGCGCAAGCCUGAUCCAGCAAUGCCGCGUGCAGGAUGAAGGCCUUCGGGUUGUAAACUGCUUUUGUACGGAACGAAACGGUGAGCUCUAAUAAAGAGGGUCCAUGACGGUACCGUAAGAAUAAGCACCGGCUAACUACGUG